CCCAUUAUCAAUACGUCGAUGUCGACGACCAGACGACCAGGACAGCUCCAUCUUCCCUACAGUGAUCACUCACUCGAACAUUUCGCCCUCAUCAGGCAGCGAUCACCCUUGAUCGUCGACUGCUUUUUAAACGGUAUAAGCAACAAGUUCAGGAAUCCUCUAAGGUCUACAAAUCACCGUAGAAAAUUGUCCCGCAAUUUUCGGUGCUUAUAAUGAGUGCAAUACAAUAGACGUAUUCACAUACGCAGGGUCACCUAAUCCUGACGAGCUCCAGUGGAUGCGAACUAAACGUGUGAAGUUGCUUCCCCUGUCAGACUAACUAACUUUUCGCGACCCAAAUUUAGUGCAGUUGAACGCGGUUGGCGGCCGUUGAAAACAAUUGUGGCGGUCGUCGCCUUUGGAUUGUCCAAGGAAUCUACGGGAGUCAAGGGAGGUUGCCCUGGAAGACUCCUAAUCCAACGAACGUGGCCCUCCCUGCGCUCAGCUAUUCGAAUGUUUGGAACUGACUCACCGGCGGAAUCGGGAUCGCCUCGGGGCAGAUGGUGACGCCCCAGUGGACGAAUAAGUUCCCGUCGAUCACAACUGGAUGUCCUUGGCGUGAUACACUCCCAGCAGGCUUCCUUAUAGGUCCUCCACUACAUCCCCGACGACCUUUUGCUUCGCUGGAGACAUGCAUCCUUCGACAAGUUUGAUAGAAUGCCUUUCCAAGCUAGACACUCCUAGGCCAUCCUGUUCAAAGGUACGGAACUUAUUCUUGACCUUUUCUAAGGCUUCCCUUACCCGCGCCGACAGGCUUCAGGAUUCCAGCUUCUCCUUCGCUUCGUCAAUCUCCUCUAGGUUGGCGCAGUGCUUCCAUUGCCUGACAUGGAUUUCUGCUGCUUCGUUCACCGACUUCGGCACGAUUCCACCUUCGACCGAUGGUGCUUGCCCGUUCGCUUGCCAGACAUCGAUUCCAAAGUAGGCAGCUUGUUCCAGGGACCGAUCUUCGCCGGACGCCGUUCUCACCGCCGAGAAGUAAGACUGAACCGGAGCACCUUGUGCUUCCACCCCCG